rnacentral:misc_RNA from 1 species
GGUAUUUUUAUUAUUAUUUUAAUAAUUUCAUUCUUUGUGCCUUUACAUGAUAUAUUAGCAUUAAAGUACAACUAUUCCAUGUCUCUAACACAUAAAUUUUAGCCAUAUUUUAGCUUAUGAUUGUCAAUUUGCUUGCUUAACCAACUUUUGCUCAUAUAUUUAGAAUAAUUAGUGUUCUUGUUUAUAAAUGCUUUCAAGUUCACACUAUGAUGAGGAAUGCCAUAUAAGUUAUCUGCAAUUAUUUAGUCAAAAUAAUUUGGUAUAAAGUUUACAUGAAUGUAUCUAAUGUAUAGACAAAUUAUGCAGAGGUUUUUUGCUUGCCAACAUGGACUUAUAUGCUGGUGUGGUUUUGGAAUGUGUUUUUGGGCUAUUGACCAGGGUUUCAAAAGCUCUGGCCCUAGCUUUUUGAUUACUUCUUUUUAAUGAAGCAUCUGUAACACCCAUUACCCAUAUUUUUUAAAAGCGCAGAGCAUAUUAGUGCACAAAUGGGUCCUGGAGCCUAGGCACAGGUGCACACUUGAGAGAGGUGACAUUGGUGGCAUGCAAUUUUUCAUCAGCCUCUUUUUUCUGUCCUUUACCUGUAGAAAUGAUAAAAACUCCUCUAGCACUUCACAGACACAAAUAUACACCUUGGCAUUUGUUUUAUUCCUAGAUAACCUAUUUCCCGCCCGCCAGGGGUGGGGGGUUUGGGCUUUAUCGCAAUGCAACUUCCAACAGGACUAGAAUUUCUGAAAAUAAUUAAAGAUAGCUUCAACCUUUGCCAAGAAUCUCUUAAUUUAUCUCUACUGCAUUGAGAUCUCUAAAUCUAACAGGAUAAUGUUCUGUAAUAAAGAUAUUUAGUGUUUGUAUUUAGAAACUUUAACUAUGAGAUUGAGACAGGCUUAAAAUUACAGUACCUCUGACAUAGAACAAUAGCUCAAACAUAAACCAAAAAGACCUCUAGAUCACCAACACAGCACCUCCCAACCAUUUGAAAGCUGCUGAAAUAUCACAUACUUCUGAAUUGAUUUAAACUCAGUCCAAGUAUAAUAGUAGCUUAUGUAGCAAUGAAACAUGAAAAUUAAAUGUACUGGUUAGUAUAUUGCUUAUGGGGAAUGCAAAAUAUCCCUAAACUAAAAUUUAAACAAUAUUUCUGAUCGUUCUUGUUCUCCAAGUUUGUGAUUCUGUGAGAUACAUUAUGUAGUGCAAGCUAACAAAUGAUCUUGAAAAAUUUAUUGUCAUCUGUCUUUGUCAUUGACCAUUGAUCAUUUCAAUGCUUCACUCACAAAUUUUAUCCUGGUGAAAAGUUUUAAUUUAUUUAUGAUGUUGCAGGAGUUCCAUGCA